AAACUGCUGUACGUAUGUCCAUUUUUUCCUGGUCUCCCCCCUUUGUUUGUCAUGGGACUUGGUGCAACACAGCCACCGGUACAAAAGUUCGCAGUUACUCAAUGUCCAUUUACUUCAUGCAAAUAUUUUUCUUAUGAUCGAAUGAUUUUUUUUGAGGAUGGCAAAUUGUUCUGUUACUAUUUUAAGCCAACUGCUGGGAAUACAAAACUAUUCACAGAGCACUAUAAAAUAGAACUUCAUGGUUUCCUAAAACUGGAUUCAAGGUUUACUUUAGUGGUUUUGGUGACUAAAUUGCAUAGAUUCUGGUUUGUUUGCAUCUGAGAGCAUCCUCCAAGGAAGGAAUGCAGUGUUUCAUUCCUGCUAGCGAGUAAUGUUCUUCUGGAACAGAACUUAGUCAUUUUGUGUGCCCUGUUCCUGGUGCUUCCUUUGGCUUGGGAACAUUUGAGGUCUCCAGCUAUGUUUGUCAAAAGAGGGAAUCUACCCAGAGGAAUUUUAUCUGCCUGCUCCUGGAACCAAGUGCAGGAACAAGUUGUUACCUCAAGCCAAGGUUUAUGAGGCUUAGAAUCACUUUAUUUACAUGUGUUUUCCAGAAGCGAAGGAAGCAUUUCAGACAGUUUCAUUAAAGAGAAACAAGUCUAUCUGCAGAAGGAUCUGUCAUGCGCGAUUUUGUUUACUUCUGUCCGUUUGCUAACCUCAGACUUCACCCAGAGACCUGCAUCUAAAGCCAACCAGCCCUCAAAGACAGCCUGCCCUAAAACAGCAGUUAAUCCCAGCACAGACCUUUCUGUGAAACUUCUGCAGUGGGACAGCAAGAAAGAAAGACUACGUGUGAUGGAGACCUCUGACAAAACCAGCUAGAUGCUGAAAAGAUGGAAAAUCAGCCACUGCACAAGUCUGACUGCUUGUUUCACAACUGUCAAUCCAUUGAGCAACACCAAUAUUGUUAUUGCACAUUAAUAGAAUGCAACAGUAAUUAUAGCUUAUUCCAUCUAAAAGCCUGGUAAAUAAUCUAAUUUCAGAUUUCUAAAAGCUUGCACAUUUGAACAGCUAAUGGAUGUUUCAGAUACUUAUUGUCAUUAAGAUUUGAAUUGUGAUACAAAUUUAUGCAACCGUAUCAGGAAGCUGCAUGCAGAAUCACUUUCAGUACUAAAGAAAUCAGCAAAGUCCCCUGCACAAAUGUUUGAAAUGCGAGAUGGAUGUACUGCAGAUACAUCCUGCAACACCAGCCAUUUUUAUGGACAAAACACAUUUUAUGGAAAAGAAAACACUUCCAGUGGAGGGGUCUUGGGCUACAUGGUACUCUUCACUGACUGCUACAGACAGAGGCUGCUGCAAGCUUGACUAUCAGAGAGCGUAGGAGGGGGAACCCAUGGCUUGUCAACAGGAAAUGGCCCACAAAUUAUUUUAAAUUCCGAUAAACAUUUUAAAGUUUUUACUCAGUGUGGGACCACAUUAAUGUGCAACCCAGUAAAACACACACGAAAUAUCUCUUAGUCCUCAGGAAAUACAGCUAAGCUCAAGAGCUAGGGCAAAGCCUAAACAACCUGGGACGCUUCUCACUGCAAAAGCAAAGCCCUGGCUGUGGCAAAUCUCUAAAAUCCAUAAAUUCAAAAGGCAAAAGCCUGGAAGUAUAGUUUUUGUGGGGUUUUUUGUUUGUUUGUUUGUUUGUUUUUUAUUAUUUUUCUAUUUUUUAAAUUUUAUUUUACUAGCAGAAGAAGUAUGCAUGUGAACAAACCAUCUAAAGCUAGGUAAAUUUGAGUAGCUUCCUUAAAAGAGGGCAAAGAAUAAUAUUUUUAGGAGCUGAUAAUUAACUCAAAUCAAAACAAAAUAUAGUUGUAAUUGUACAGAAGCUCAUCUUAACUGGUUAUAUUUUCAGGGAAACAAAUGAAAAAAGGAAGAAAAAAAAAACCAGCAACAACAACUGAGCAAAAGCAAACAAUGAAAAGCUGAUCUCCCCAGAUAAUAUCUCUUACUGUCUCGUUAUCAUCUGAGCUCCCUUACAUACAGAUCAUGUGGAAAUAUGAAGGUGUUAAAAUCAGGUAUUAACUUUCUAAACCAGCUAAUUCUUGCAGCAUUGGGUGUUGGCCUGGCUUGAGCACAACUGGUUGAGAAGUUGGGCUGCCUCCAGAACACAUUUGAAAAGGCCUUCAACUACUGUAAUGUCAGCUUUCCUUAGCUUUGGUUUUCUGCUGUUAGCAGCUGCUGUUGAUUAGCUUUCACUGAAGCGUGUUCUCUGGUUGUGCUACAAGCUCUAUCAUUGCUGUUUCUGCAGUGAGUGCUCCAGCAUACAGAUCCAUGUGCUUAACCUAGAGGCUGAGAAAUGUAUGAAACUGAAGAUGGUGCUUGCUGUAAUACAGCUGAGGCUCCAGGGCAGAGCUGUCUUUCUUUCCCUUCUGGUCCUGUGUUUCUAUUUUCUGAGCUGUAGGAAUAAAAAUAAGCAGAAGCCAUGAGUGUAUGCUCAAUAUACGUAAAUGAUCUUCCCUUUGGAAGCACAUGAAACAGGUUGUGUUUUCUCCAUUGACUACUCCAGACAGUACUGAGCAAGAAUAUGAAAUUAACAGAGCAAUUAUACAAUUACAAAA